rnacentral:lncRNA from 1 species
CACAGACUAUCUCAUGUGGCCCAAAGGCCCCAGGAAAAGAAAGAAAAUUUUCAGACAGUACAUUUGAAAGGCUUAGAGGUUCCCUUCCAGGAGCUGAGGGCAAAGGGCAAACCUGUCUUCAGCAAACGCUAAUGCAUUACUGCACAGGUCCCUUUAGUCCAUGCUGGCCAGAAAAUCUAUGUUUAAAGCUCUGUGGGUUUUCUAUGAAUUUUGUCGGCAUUUACUCCAUUAGAGAGAACCACAAGUAUCAAUCUCUUCAAGUUUGCUUCUCCAGUAAAACGGCCAAUUCAAGAAUGUCUCAUGGAUUCACCUCGUCUUAAGAGAAAGAAUAAAGGAUGGACGUAUUGAUACUCCAAAGAAAUUUGAUUUGGAGGUUUGGACAUAGAAUGGACUGCAGGAUGGCAGCAACAUUUCACUUGCCCAGAUGAUCCCAGCUACGUGAGUAAGACUGAAGCUCCACAGCACCAUGCAGCUGUUUCUAGGCAGAAAGAUAAACAAGCAGAAAGUUAAGUACAGG